AUGCUAAAAAGAACGAAUACGGGGACACGAGAUACGACCUUUUCCGAAAACAGCCCAUCGGAGACAUGGCAUACGACAUUUUCCAAAAACAGCCCAUCGGGGACACGGCAAGUUUGUAUAACAAUAAAUAAAUAUAUGCCAUGUAAUAUAGAGUUAAAGACAAAAAAAAUAAUGAGAAAGAGAUCAGAAUGGAGAAUACUGCCCCAUUUGUUGUCUGUUGUCUCCUAUUUCAAGUGGUUGAUUGAUCAUCCAGACCAGAUCCAGGUCAAUUGUCAUUGCAACUUGCAAAACACAUCACCAGGUGGUUGUCCUCCUUCACUCUCACGGUCUCACCCACAGAUGAUUGGCUACCUGCGGUGGCGCCACUCCCAGAUGUUGUUUUCUAACAUGAAGCACCAAUCAACAGUUCAGAACAACAUGAGGAAGCAACAAGCAAGCAGCAUCACAGGAACAGCAUGGUGA
rnacentral:rRNA from 1 species